rnacentral:rRNA from 1 species
AGAGUUUGAUCCUGGCUCAGAUGAACGCUGGCGGCAGGCCUAACACAUGCAAGUCGAGCGGAUGAGUGGAGCUUGCUCCAUGAUUCAGCGGCGGACGGGUGAGUAAUGCCUAGGAAUCUGCCUGGUAGUGGGGGACAACGUUUCGAAAGGAACGCUAAUACCGCAUACGUCUACGGGAGAAAGCAGGGGACUUUCGGGCCUUGCGCUAUCAGAUGAGCCUAGGUCGGAUUAGCUAGUUGGCGAGGUAACGGCUCACCAAGGCGACGAUCCGUAACUGGUCUGAGAGGAUGAUCAGUCACACUGGAACUGAGACACGGUCCAGACUCCUACGGGAGGCAGCAGUGGGGAAUAUUGGACAAUGGGCGAAAGCCUGAUCCAGCCAUGCCGCGUGUGUGAAGAAGGUCUUCGGAUUGUAAAGCACUUUAAGUUGGGAGGAAGGGCAGUAAGUUAAUACCUUGCUGUUUUGACGUUACCGACAGAAUAAGCACCGGCUAACUUCGUGCCAGCAGCCGCGGUAAUACGAAGGGUGCAAGCGUUAAUCGGAAUUACUGGGCGUAAAGCGCGCGUAGGUGGUUCAGCAAGUUGGAUGUGAAAGCCCCGGGCUCAACCUGGGAACUGCAUCCAAAACUACUGAGCUAGAGUACGGUAGAGGGUGGUGGAAUUUCCUGUGUAGCGGUGAAAUGCGUAGAUAUAGGAAGGA